AAAUUGAAGGGUUUGAUCAUGGCUCAGAUUGAACGCUGGCGGCAGGCCUAACACAUGCAAGUCGAACGGUAACAGGAAGAAGCUUGCUUCUUUGCUGACGAGUGGCGGACGGGUGAGUAAUGUCUGGGAAACUGCCUGAUGGAGGGGGAUAACUACUGGAAACGGUAGCUAAUACCGCAUAACGUCGCAAGACCAAAGAGGGGGACCUUCGGGCCUCUUGCCAUCGGAUGUGCCCAGAUGGGAUUAGCUUGUUGGUGGGGUAACG
rnacentral:rRNA from 1 species